UACGUAGGGGGCAAGCGUUGUCCGGAUUUAUUGGGCGUAAAGAGCGUGUAGGCGGCUAGGUAGGUCCGUUGUGAAAACUCGAGGCUCAACCUCGAGACGCCGGUGGAAACCGUAAGGCUAGAGUCCGGAAGAGGAGAGUGGAAUUCCUGGUGUAGCGGUGAAAUGCGCAGAUAUCAGGAAGAACACCUAUGGCGAAAGCAGCUCUCUGGGACGGUACUGACGCUGAGACGCGAAAGCGUGGGGAGCGAACAGG
rnacentral:rRNA from 1 species